GGCCUCAAUGCUAAUAGUAUUGAGGAUUGACGUUACCCACAGAAGAAGCACCGGCUAACUCUGUGCCAGCAGCCGCGGUAAUACAGAGGGUGCAAGCGUUAAUCGGAAUUACUGGGCGUAAAGGGUGCGUAGGUGGUUUUUAAGUCAGAUGUGAAAUCCCUGGGCUCAACCUAGGAAUUGCAUUUGAUACUGAAUAACUUGAGUAUGGUAGAGGGAAGUGGAAUUUCCAGUGUAGCGGUGAAAUGCGUAGAUAUUGGAAGGAACAUCAGUGGCGAAGGCGACUUCCUGGACCAUUACUGACACUGAGGCACGAAAGCGUGGGGAGCGAACAGGAUUAGAUACCCUGGUAGUCCACGCCGUAAACGAUGAGAACUAGAUGUUAGGGGGCUUAGACCUCUUAGUAUCGCAGCAAACGCGUUAAGUUCUCGCCUGGGGAGUACGGCCGCAAGGUU
rnacentral:rRNA from 1 species